AGUGAACGCUGGCGGUAGGCCUAACACAUGCAAGUCGAACGGCAGCACAGUAAGAGCUUGCUCUUACGGGUGGCGAGUGGCGGACGGGUGAGGAAUACAUCGGAAUCUACUUUUUCGUGGGGGAUAACGUAGGGAAACUUACGCUAAUACCGCAUACGACCUACGGGUGAAAGCAGGGGAUCUUCGGACCUUGCGCGAUUGAAUGAGCCGAUGUCGGAUUAGCUAGUUGGCGGGGUAAAGCCCACCAAGGCGACGAUCCGUAGCUGGUCUGAGAGGAUGAUCAGCCACACUGGAACUGAGACACGGUCCAGACUCCUACGGGAGGCAGCAGUGGGGAAUAUUGGACAAUGGGCGCAAGCCCGAUCCAGCCAUACCGCGUGGGUGAAGAAGGCCUUCGGGUUGUAAAGCCCUUUUGUUGGGAAAGAAAAGCAGCAGGUUAAUACCCCGCUGUUCUGACGGUACCCAAAGAAUAAGCACCGGCUAACUUCGUG
rnacentral:rRNA from 1 species